rnacentral:rRNA from 1 species
AUUGAACGCUGGCGGCAUGCCUAACACAUGCAAGUCGAACGCCCUGGUUUCGGCCGGGGAGUGGCGCACGGGUGAGUAACGCGUGGGAACCUGCCCGGCAGUACGGGACAACCGCGGGAAACUGCGGCUGAUACCGUAUACGGCCUGAGGGCGAAAGAAUUUCGCUGUCGGAGGGGCCCGCGUCGGAUUAGGUAGUUGGUGGGGUAACGGCCUACCAAGCCUGCGAUCCGUAGCUGGUCUGAGAGGAUGAUCAGCCACACUGGGACUGAGACACGGCCCAGACUCCCACGGGAGGCAGCAGUGGGGAAUAUUGGACAAUGGGCGCAAGCCUGAUCCAGCAAUGCCGCGUGAGUGAUGAAGGCCUUAGGGUUGUAAAGCUCUUUCGCCCGCGACGAUGAUGACGGUAGCGGGAGAAGAAGCCCCGGCUAACUCCGUGCCAGCAGCCGCGGUAAAAC